UGGGGAAUAUUGGACAAUGGGCGAAAGCCUGAUCCAGCCAUGCCGCGUGAGUGAUGAAGGCCUUCGGGUUGUAAAGCUCUUUAGUUGGGGAAGAUAAUGACGGUACCCAAAGAAUAAGUCACGGCAAACUCUGUGCCAGCAGCCGCGGUAAUACAGAGGUGGCGAAUGUUGUUCGGAUUUACUGGGCGUAAAGCGAUUGUAGGCGGUUAAGAAAGUUAGAUGUGAAAGCCCCGGGCUUAACCCGGGAAUUGCAUUUAAAACUCCUUAGCUAGAAUUAUGGAGAGGUUGACGGAAUUCCGAGUGUAGAGGUGAAAUUCGUAGAUAUUCGGAGGAACAUCAGUUGCGAAGGCGGUUGACUGGCCAUAUAUUGACGCUGAGAAUCGAAAGCGUGGGGAGCAAA
rnacentral:rRNA from 1 species